rnacentral:rRNA from 1 species
GACGGAGGAUGCAAGUGUUAUCCGGAAUCACUGGGCGUAAAGCGUCUGUAGGUGGUUUCAAAAGUCCACUGUUAAAGAUUGAAGCUUAACUUCAAAAAUGCCGUGGAAACUUUGAAACUUGAGUAUGAUAGGGGUAGAGGGAAUUUCCAGUGGAGCGGUGAAAUGCGUAGAUAUUGGAAAGACCACCAAUGGCGAAGGCACUCUACUGGGCCGACACUGACACUGAGAGACGAAAGCUAGGGGAGCGAAUGGG